rnacentral:rRNA from 1 species
CCAAAACGACUCUCGGCAACGGAUAUUUCGGCUUUCGCAUCGAUGAAGAACGUAGCGAAAUGCGAUACUUGGUGUGAAUUGCAGAAUCCCGUGAACCAUCGAGUCUUUGAACGCAAGUUGCGCCCGAAGCCAUUAGGCCGAGGGCACGUCUGCCUGGGCGUCACG